rnacentral:lncRNA from 1 species
GGAACGGUUGCUAGGGGUGGGUAAUGGGUGAAGAAAGGGGGGUACUGGGGAGCGGAUAAGGAGGGUUAAGGGAGGGGGCGAGGAUGGGGAGCAAUGCAAAGGUAAGGCCAGGUUACAGCGGCUCGGCCCCGAGUGGGCUGCGGCCGGGGGAGGGGCGAGAGAUACAUAUGUAUUUCUGUCUCCCCAGCACACCCCCUUCCCUCUAAGCGAUGGCUGAGAGGCGGUGCAUGCAGAUGGGGAGUAAGUUUCCUGAAGGGGAGGGUGGAUGCACGCGCGCAACCCGGCGCUGCAAAUUUCCACCGGGGAGGGAGAACGGCUGGAUGCGGAGAGUUUGGAGUUGCUUGCGGCGGAGGGCAGGAAGGGGAACAGGGCUGGGAAAGGGGACUGGCGGGCGCUAUAUCUGGGAGUAAGUUUCCAGCAUCAGGAGAGCCUGCACGCUUGCUCACUACUCUGCUCGCCCCCCAUCUCACCCCCCAAGCGGAGACUGGUCUUCUCGUCGGAUUGCCCAUGCACUUGUUGCAGAAACAGCCAAGGCCCUGGCUGUGGAGGAUGCUGA